GCUUACGACCACACCGGCCUGAGUACGCCUGAUCUCGGAAGCUAAGCAGGGUCGGGCCUGGUUAGUACUUGGAUGGGAGACUUCCUGGGAAUACCAGGUGCUGUAAGCU
ensembl:rRNA 5S_rRNA 5S ribosomal RNA